AGGGUUUGAUCAUGGCUCAGAUUGAACGCUGGCGGAAUGCUUUACACAUGCAAGUCGAACGGUAACAGCAGAGCUUGCUCUGGCUGACGAGUGGCGGACGGGUGAGUAAUAUAUCGGAACGUGUCCAAUAAUGGGGGAUAACUAGUCGAAAGGCUGGCUAAUACCGCAUACGCCCUGAGGGGGAAAGCUGGGGAUCUUCGGACCUAGCGUUAAUGGAGCGGCCGAUACCUGAUUAGCUAGUUGGUGGGGUAAAAGCCUACCAAGGCAACGAUCAGUAGCUGGUCUGAGAGGACGACCAGCCACACUGGGACUGAGACACGGCCCAGACUCCUACGGGAGGCAGCAGUGGGGAAUUUUGGACAAUGGGGGCAACCCUGAUCCAGCCAUUCCGCGUGAGUGAAGAAGGCCUUCGGGUUGUAAAGCUCUUUCGCAAGGGAAGAAACGAUAUAGGUUAAUAGCUUAUGUUAAUGACGGUACCUUGACAAGAAGCACCGGCUAACUACGUGCCAGCAGCCGCGGUAAUACGUAGGGUGCAAGCGUUAAUCGGAAUUACUGGGCGUAAAGCGUGCGCAGGCGGUUUUGUAAGUCAGAUGUGAAAUCCCCGAGCUCAACUUGGGAACUGCGUUUGAAACUACAAGACUAGAAUAUGUCAGAGGGGGGUAGAAUUCCACGUGUAGCAGUGAAAUGCGUAGAGAUGUGGAGGAAUACCAAUGGCGAAGGCAGCCCCCUGGGAUAAUAUUGACGCUCAUGCACGAAAGCGUGGGGAGCAAACAGGAUUAGAUACCCUGGUAGUCCACGCCCUAAACGAUGUCAACUAGUUGUUGGUGGAGUAAAAUCCAUGAGUAACGUAGCUAACGCGUGAAGUUGACCGCCUGGGGAGUACGGUCGCAAGAUUAAAACUCAAAUGAAUUGACGGGGGCCCGCACAAGCGGUGGAUUAUGUGGAUUAAU
rnacentral:rRNA from 1 species